rnacentral:rRNA from 1 species
UACGUAGGGUCCGAGCGUUGUCCGGAAUUACUGGGCGUAAAGAGCUCGUAGGUGGUUUGUCGCGUUGUUCGUGAAAACUCACAGCUCAACUGUGGGCGUGCGGGCGAUACGGGCAGACUAGAGUACUGCAGGGGAGACUGGAAUUCCUGGUGUAGCAGUGGAAUGCGCAGAUAUCAGGAGGAACACCGGUGGCGAAGGCGGGUCUCUGGGCAGUAACUGACGCUGAGGAGCGAAAGCGUGGGGAGCGAACAGG